UCGAUUCCCUUAGUAGCGGCGAGCGAAACGGGAAGAGCCCAAACCAACAAGCUUGCUUGUUGGGGUUGUAGGACACUCUAUACGGAGUUACAAAGGACGACAUUAGACGAAUCAUCUGGAAAGAUGAAUCAAAGAAGGUAAUAAUCCUGUAGUCGAAAAUGUUGUCUCUCUUGAGUGGAUCCUGAGUACGACGGAGCACGUGAAAUUCCGUCGGAAUCUGGGAGGACCAUCUCCUAAGGCUAAAUACUCUCUAGUGACCGAUAGUGAACCAGUACCGUGAGGGAAAGGUGAAAAGCACCCCGGAAGGGGAGUGAAAUAGAACCUGAAACCGUGUGCUUACAAGUAGUCAGAGCCCGUUAAUGGGUGAUGGCGUGCCUUUUGUAGAAUGAACCGGCGAGUUACGAUUUGAUGCAAGGUUAAGCAGUAAAUGUGGAGCCGUAGCGAAAGCGAGUCUGAAUAGGGCGUUUAGUAUUUGGUCGUAGACCCGAAACCAGGUGAUCUACCCUUGGUCAGGUUGAAGUUCAGGUAACACUGAAUGGAGGACCGAACCGACUUACGUUGAAAAGUGAGCGGAUGAACUGAGGGUAGCGGAGAAAUUCCAAUCGAACCUGGAGAUAGCUGGUUCUCUCCGAAAUAGCUUUAGGGCUAGCCUCAAGUGAUGAUUAUUGGAGGUAGAGCACUGUUUGGACGAGGGGCCCCUCUCGGGUUACCGAAUUCAGACAAACUCCGAAUGCCAAUUAAUUUAACUUGGGAGUCAGAACAUGGGUGAUAAGGUCCGUGUUCGAAAGGGAAACAGCCCAGACCACCAGCUAAGGUCCCAAAAUAUAUGUUAAGUGGAAAAGGAUGUGGCGUUGCCCAGACAACUAGGAUGUUGGCUUAGAAGCAGCCAUCAUUUAAAGAGUGCGUAAUAGCUCACUAGUCGAGUGACACUGCGCCGAAAAUGUACCGGGGCUAAACAUAUUACCGAAGCUGUGGAUUGUCCUUUGGACAAUGGUAGGAGAGCGUUCUAAGGGCGUUGAAGCAUGAUCGUAAGGACAUGUGGAGCGCUUAGAAGUGAGAAUGCCGGUGUGAGUAGCGAAAGACGGGUGAGAAUCCCGUCCACCGAUUGACUAAGGUUUCCAGAGGAAGGCUCGUCCGCUCUGGGUUAGUCGGGUCCUAAGCUGAGGCCGACAGGCGUAGGCGAUGGAUAACAGGUUGAUAUUCCUGUACCACCUAUAAUCGUUUUAAUCGAUGGGGGGACGCAGUAGGAUAGGCGAAGCGUGCGAUUGGAUUGCACGUCUAAGCAGUAAGGCUGAGUAUUAGGCAAAUCCGGUACUCGUUAAGGCUGAGCUGUGAUGGGGAGAAGACAUUGUGUCUUCGAGUCGUUGAUUUCACACUGCCGAGAAAAGCCUCUAGAUAGAAAAUAGGUGCCCGUACCGCAAACCGACACAGGUAGUCAAGAUGAGAAUUCUAAGGUGAGCGAGCGAACUCUCGUUAAGGAACUCGGCAAAAUGACCCCGUAACUUCGGGAGAAGGGGUGCUCUUUAGGGUUAACGCCCAGAAGAGCCGCAGUGAAUAGGCCCAAGCGACUGUUUAUCAAAAACACAGGUCUCUGCUAAACCGUAAGGUGAUGUAUAGGGGCUGACGCCUGCCCGGUGCUGGAAGGUUAAGAGGAGUGGUUAGCUUCUGCGAAGCUACGAAUCGAAGCCCCAGUAAACGGCGGCCGUAACUAUAACGGUCCUAAGGUAGCGAAAUUCCUUGUCGGGUAAGUUCCGACCCGCACGAAAGGCGUAACGAUUUGGGCACUGUCUCAACGAGAGACUCGGUGAAAUCAUAGUA
rnacentral:rRNA from 1 species